CGGGUGAGUGACCUAGAAUUGUUCUAAAAUUUUGGAUGAGAGAAAAAUCAAAGAGAAGAGAGUCUUCAUCAAAUUUUUUUCUACCAUCCAGCAUCCCCUCUAAUCCAUCUUUAAUAUUAAAAAGGUCUGAAGCAAUUGAAAGAAGAGAUCAAAUCAGAUCUACCAUCAGAAGUCGACUGUGCAAUCUAGCACUCCCGCGGAGGGCUGAUCGGUCUGAGGACUUUGUGUGGACCAUCUGUAGAGAUCGGAUACUUAUGCAGCUAUGAGCGACCAAAGAAAACUUCCAGAUCUACAUUCUCAAUUAUGAAGAUCAACUACCCAUGC
rnacentral:lncRNA from 1 species